rnacentral:rRNA from 1 species
AUACGGAGGAUCCGAGCGUUAUCCGGAUUUAUUGGGUUUAAAGGGAGCGUAGGUGGAUUGUUAAGUCAGUUGUGAAAGUUUGCGGCUCAACCGUAAAAUUGCAGUUGAAACUGGGAGUCUUGAGUACAGUAGAGGUGGGCGGAAUUCGUGGUGUAGCGGUGAAAUGCUUAGAUAUCACGAAGAACUCCGAUUGCGAAGGCAGCUCACUAGACUGUCACUGACACUGAUGCUCGAAAGUGUGGGUAUCAAACAGGAUUAGAUACCCUGGUAGUCCACACAGUAAACGAUGAAUACUCGCUGUUUGCGAUAUACAGUAAGCGGCCAAGCGAAAGUAUUAAGUAUUCCACCUGGGGAGUACGCCGGCAACGGUGAAACUCAAAUGAAUUGACGGGG